rnacentral:rRNA from 1 species
UUUGGUGGAAAGUGGCGGACGAGCGAGUAACACGUAAGUAGUUGCCCCGUACUCAGGGAUAACACGGCGAAAGUCGUGCUAAUACCGGAUAAGUCCUAACGGAGAAAGUUUUAAUGCCAAAAGAUGAGCCCGCAUUUGAUUAGUUUGUUGGUGAGGUAAUGGCUCACCAAGACUACAAUCAAUAGCUGAUUUGAGAGGAUGAUCAGCCACACUGGGACUGAGAUACGGCCCAGACUCC